rnacentral:rRNA from 1 species
GAUGAACGCUAGCGACAGGCCUAACACAUGCAAGUCGAGGGGCAGCAUGAAAUUAGCUUGCUAAUUUUGAUGGCGACCGGCGCACGGGUGAGUAACACGUAUGCAACCUGCCUGUAAGCGGGGGAUAACCCGGAGAAAUUCGGACUAAUACCGCAUAAUAUCAUCGAAUCCCAUGUUUUGAUGAUUAAAAAUUUAUUGCUUACAGAGUGGCAUGCGUAUGAUUAGCUAGUUGGCGGGGUAACGGCCCACCAAGGUGACGAUCAUUAGGGGUUCUGAGAGGAAGGUCCCCCACAUUGGAACUGAGACACGGUCCAAACUCCUACGGGAGGCAGCAGUGAGGAAUAUUGGUCAAUGGACGCAAGUCUGAACCAGCCAUGUCGCGUGAAGGAUGACUGUCCUAUGGAUUGUAAACUUCUUUUAUAUGGGGAUAAAGUGUGAGACUUGUCUCAUUUUGCAUGUACCAUAUGAAUAAGCAUCGGCUAACUCCGUGCCAGCAGCCGCGGUAAAAC